UACGUAGGGGGCUAGCGUUGUCCGGAUUUAUUGGGCGUAAAGAGCGUGUAGGCGGCCAGGUAGGUCUGCUGUGAAAACUCGAGGCUCAACCUCGAGACGUCGGCGGAAACCAUCUGGCUAGAGUCCGGAAGAGGAUAGUGGAAUUCCCAGUGUAGCGGUGAAAUGCGUAGAUAUCUGGAGGAACACCGGUGGCGAAGGCGGCAUCCUGGACCGGCAUUGACGCUGAGGCGCGAAAGCCAGGGGAGCAAACGGG
rnacentral:rRNA from 1 species